rnacentral:rRNA from 1 species
CAGUCGCCGCGGUAAUGCGAAGGGUGCAAGCGUUACUCGGAAUUACUGGGCGUAAAGCGUGCGUAGGUGGUGGUUUAAGUCCGUUGGGAAAGCCCUGGGCUCAACCUGGGAAUUGCAGUGGAUACUGGGUCACUAGAGUGUGGUAGAGGAUAGUGGAAUUUCCGGUGUAGCAGUGAAAUGCGUAGAGAUCGGAAGGAACAUCUGUGGCGAAGGCGACUAUCUGGGCCAACACUGACACUGAGGCACGAAAGCGUGGGGAGCAAACAGGAUUAGAUACCCGUGUAGUCCCUGUCUCUUAUAC